rnacentral:rRNA from 1 species
AGCGAACGCUGGCGGCAGGCCUAACACAUGCAAGUCGAACGAACUCUUCGGAGUUAGUGGCGGACGGGUGAGUAACACGUGGGAACGUGCCUUUAGGUUCGGAAUAACUCAGGGAAACUUGUGCUAAUACCGAAUGUGCCCUUCGGGGGAAAGAUUUAUCGCCUUUAGAGCGGCCCGCGUCUGAUUAGCUAGUUGGUGAGGUAAAGGCUCACCAAGGCGACGAUCAGUAGCUGGUCUGAGAGGAUGAUCAGCCACAUUGGGACUGAGACACGGCCCAAACUCCUACGGGAAGCAGCAGUGGGGAAUCUUGCGCAAUGGGCGAAAGCCUGACGCAGCCAUGCCGCGUGAAUGAUGAAGGUCUUAGGAUUGUAAAAUACUUUCACCGGGGACGAUAAUGACGGUACCCGGAGAAGAAGCCCCGGCUAACUUCGUG